CGGAGAGGGCGCAUGAGAAACGGCUACCACUUCUAAGGAAGGCAGCAGGCGCGCAAAUUACCCAAUCCUGACUCAGGGAGGUAGUGACAAGAAAUAACAAUAAACCGGCUUAUGCCGGUUUAAUUGGAAUGAGUACAAUUUAAACAUCUUAACGAGGAACAAUUGGAGGGCAAGUCUGGUGCCAGCAGCCGCGGUAAUUCCAGCUCCAAUAGCGUAUACUAAAGUUGUUGCAGUUAAAAAGCUCGUAGUUGGAUUUCUGCGGGGACGGAGCGGCCGGACGCAACUUGCGUCUCGAGCUAGCGCUUUCCCCGCAUCCUGCCGCGAACCGUGCUACCAUUAGCUUGGUGGCGCUGGGGAUCGGCUCGAUUACUUUGAGAAAAAUAGAGUGUUCAAAGCAGGCCACACGCCUUGAAUAAGUUAGCAUGGAAUAAUGACUAAGGACUUCGGUUCUAUUUUGUUGGUGUUCGGGACUGGAGUAAUGAUUGAUAGGGACAGUUGGGGCGGUCUGUAUUCCAAAGCGAGAGGUGAAAUUCUUAGACCUUUGGAAGACAAACAGCUGCGAAAGCGUUCCGCAAGGAUGUUCCCUUUGAUCAAGAACGAAAGUUGGGGGAUCGAAGACGAUCAGAUACCGUCGUAGUCUCAACUAUAAACUAUACCAGCUAGGGAUCGGUCAACGUUUAAUCAUUCGACUUGAUCGGCACCUUAUGAGAAAUCAAAGCAUCUGGGUUCCGGGGGGAGCAUGGUCGCAAGGCUGAAACUUAAAGGAAUUGACGGAAGGGCACCACCAGCCGUGGAGCCUGUGGCUUAAUUUGACUCAACACGGGAAAACUUACCAGGUCCAGACAUAGUAAGGAUUGACAGAUUGAUAGCUCUUUCUUGAUUCUGUGGGUGGUGGUGCAUGGCCGUUCUUAGUUGGUGGAGUGAUUUGUCUGGUUAAUUCCGUUAACGAACGAGACCCCAGCCUGCUAAAUAGCGCGGCUGAGCUUUGCUCGGUGCGAGCUUCUUAGAGGGACUAUGAUGCGCGAUAGCACAUGGAAGUUUGGGGCAAUAACAGGUCUGUGAUGCCCUUAGAUGUUCUGGGCCGCACACGGGCUACACUGGCGCCUGCAACGAGCAUAUCAGCUGGCCCGAGAGGGUCUUGGCUAAUCUUUUGAACCGGCGCCGUGCUUGGGAUUGACCAUUGCAAUUGUUGGUCAUGCAACGAGGAAUGCCUUGUAAACGCGAGUCAUCAGCUCGCAUUGAAUACGUCCCUGCCCUUUGUACACACCGCCCGUCGCUCCUACCGAUGAAUGUUCCGAUGAAAUUUUCGGAGAGCGCCAGAGAACGGGGCUCCGCCUUGCAGAUCUGGAGGCUCAAAGUCACUUAAAUCUGAACAUUUCGAGGAAGGAGAAGUCGUAACAAGGUAACC
rnacentral:rRNA from 1 species